rnacentral:rRNA from 1 species
UACAGAGGUCCCGAGCGUUGUUCGGAAUCACUGGGCGUAAAGGGUGCGUAGGCGGGUUUUUAAGUCAGAGGUGAAAUCCUGGAGCUCAACUCCAGAACUGCCUUUGAUACUGAAAGUCUUGAGUAUGGGAGAGGUGAGUGGAACUGCGAGUGUAGAGGUGAAAUUCGUAGAUAUUCGCAAGAACACCAGUGGCGAAGGCGGCUCACUGGCCCAUAACUGACGCUGAGGCACGAAAGCGUGGGGAGCAAACAGG